CUCAUCAUCGCAAGUGUUCUGUUGAGAGUCAGUCGCUCGCGUGUCCAGCUCCGCCGCCAACAUUCCCUCAAGGCAACCAAGCCAACAUCCUGAUUUAUUUUUGGGACCAUAUUUUUCUCUCCGACAAUCAUACGAAAAAUAAAUGUUGAGAUUCUAUUACGGCUCUACUGAUAGGAGUUCAAGCACUGCCCCCGUCCUGGCUACAUCGCGCGGCAGUCGUCUGGCUAACUGCGGUAACGUUCUCGAGCUCAGCGUGCUGGUGCAGACUCACUCUGUCACUUGAGCUCUUCCAAAUCAAUUUCUACGCAUAAAAAAGAAAGCCUCGCUGUCUUCUGUGAAGAUUCAACGCUUAUAGCUUGAAAGUUCAACGUCAGCAAAAAGUAAAAUAUCCACCGCCUCGUAAUAUCAACAGAUUUUCAUCGUCUAUCGCCAUCAAGAGAAAGAAAUAUUCAGAAUGGUUUACGAUACAUUCAACAGCUUGGGAAGUGCUGCUUCAGAGUUGCACGACAACGAGAAGAGAUCGCUUGAAUCAAGACAAUUGUCGUACCAGAAGCUGCAGGAGCCAAACACGUCUGGCACCAAGCGGGUGAAGAAGUCUAGUGGCGCCCCCCAGCCGCAGGCCGACCCUUGGGGGCCGGUCUUCCGUGACCGUCAGCACUUCGUUGACAUGCAUCUCUGCUGAGACGCGGCGCCCAAUGGCGGCCAUGAUGAUAGUCAUCAGGGGAAAUUAGAGAUUAACUCAAUAACAUUUAAUAAUUUAAAUAGAGAAAAUCAAAAUACGAGGAAAUUCAAAAAUCGGGUGGCCAUCAUGAUAAUCGUCAGUGGAAAUGAGAGAUUAAUUCAAGAACAUCGAAUUAUUCAAAUGAAGAAAAUCAAAACACGAGGAGAUUCAAAAAUCGGGUGGCUACGAUGAUAAUCAUCAGUGUAUUUUAGAUAUUAAUGCUUGAUGUUUUUAAGGUUUAAAUGAAAUACUAAAAACCCCAAGAUAUUCAUGAAUUAAAAUCAGGAUGAUGCAGGAAACUCAAAUUACUUGUACAAUGCGAUCAAAAAUGAACGGAAAUGGCUUAGGUAUAUGUUACUUGGACUACUUUAACUUAAGCUACAAAAGUCAGUAUAUCAGAUGUGAUCUCAGUGGCAACGGCAAGAAGGGAUUGUAAAGAUAUUGACAUGAAUAUGCAUGCAUUCUUCGCAAUUAAUAAUGAAAUGGAACAAAACAAUUGAUUGAUAGACAAGCCAUAAUCAAUUUGUCAGCUCAUAGCCGUCAUUAAAAAAUAUCAACACAACUGUAUCAUGUUUACAUACCUCUGACGUUGAAGGACUUGCAUCUGCGGUAACCAUUUUCCCCGAUAAAGUAUUUAAAAUACAAAGUAUUUUCCGUGAAAAGUAUCUAAAAUGCUUUAUUCUCUAUAGAGAAACAUAGCUGCUCAAUGCUAACAAUUUACUAAGCUUCGCUGCUCAUUGCAGUUGUAUGAUCUAAUUUUUCGUAUUUAUAACCAUUUAAAUUCUGGGAUUUUAUGUUAUCUUUAUUUUAAACGAAAUCAAAAUAAAUCUAUACAGGAAUGAU
rnacentral:lncRNA from 1 species